rnacentral:rRNA from 1 species
CCGCCNUGGGGAGUNCGGGUNGGCAAGGGUUGAAACUUAAAAGGAAUUGGCGGGGGGAGCANUGCAACCGGGAGGGAGCNUGCGGUUUAAUUGGAUUUCAACGCCGGAAAGCUUACCGGGGGAGACUGCCGGAUGUGAGCCAGGCUGAAGACCUUGCNCCGAAUAAUAGGCAGAGANGGUGGUGCAUGGCCGUCGUCAGCUCGUACCGUAAGGCGUUCUGUUAAGUCAGGUAACGAGCGAGACCCCCGCCCUUAGUUGCCACCUGUCCCUCCGGGGACAGAGCACACUAAGGGGACUGCCGGCGAUAAGCUGGAGGAAGGAGGGGGCAACGGUAGGUCAGUAUGCCCUGAAUCCCCCGGNCUACACGCACGCUACAAAGGCUGGGACAAUGGGUUGCGACCCCGAAAGGGGGAGCUAAUCCCUAAACCCAGUCGUNNGUUCGGAUCGAUGGGUUGCAACUCACCCUCNNNNNACGGUGGAUUUCCGUAGUAAUCNNNNCGUCAACAUCCCGCGGUAA